GACGAACGCUGGCGGCGUGCCUAAUACAUGCAAGUAGAACGCUGAAGCGAGGCGCUUGCUCUUCUUGGAUGAGUUGCGCACGGGUGAGUAACGCGUAGGUAACCUGCCUGGUAGCGGGGGAUAACUAUGGGAAACGAUAGCUAAUACCGCAUAAAAUGCAUUAUCGCGUGAUGAUCCAUUGAAAGGUGCAAGUGCGUCACUAACAGCUGGACCUGCGUUGUAUUAGCUAGUUGGUGGGGUAACGGCUCACCAAGGCGACGAUACAUAGCCGCCGUGAGAGGGCGAGCAGCCGCCCUGGGACUGAGACCCGGCCCAGAGUGCCACGGGAGGCAGCAGGAGUGAUACGUCGGCAAGAGACGGAAGUCUGACCGCGCAACGCGGCGGGAGGGAAGAAGGACGUCGGAUCGGAAAGCUCUGUUGUAAGAUAAGAACGAGUUUGAGCGUGGAAAGUACCCACUGUGACGGUAUCUGAUCAGAAAGCGACGGCUAACUACGUG
rnacentral:rRNA from 1 species